rnacentral:lncRNA from 1 species
GGAUUAGAGAAGAGCAGCGGUUCAGGGGUCCUGAAGGAAGGCCUGAGGCAAAGGAGGGAGCUGAAGAGGGGGUCCCAGCUUCAAGCUAUCAGGAAAACUACAUCUCAACGGUGAAAGUAUGCUGGGGAAGGAAGGCUGCAGCGACAGGAGUUGAAUGAUGGUGACAUAACCGACAGAUUCUCACAAGGUCCGAGUGUCACUUCCAAGACGGACAUCCACGGUUUAAUCACCAAGUGCUGCCUGCCUGCCUGGUCUUCCCAAGCCUCCCAGCUGUUUCCCUUUCCAUUCCCGUGAGUGAGUGCUGCUUCAGGCGAGGCUCUGCACACCACACAACUAGAGACCAGCAGCCACCGGUCUCCCAGGCAUUCAGCAGUCCUUUCCAGUGAUCUUGUCACACAGGAAAACGUGACAGUUACCCUAAGGGGCUCAGAUGACUUCCCAUUAAAAUCAUUUGUUCGGUC